CCUACGGGGUGCAGCAGUGAGGAAUAUUGGUCAAUGGGCGCGAGCCUGAACCAGCCAAGUAGCGUGAAGGAUGACUGCCCUACGGGUUGUAAACUUCUUUUAUAAAGGCAUAAAGUGAGGCACGUGUGCCUUUUUGUACGUACUUUAUGAAUAAGGAUCGGCUAACUCCGUGCCAGCAGCCGCGGUAAUACGGAGGAUCCGAGCGUUAUCCGGAUUUAAUGUGUUUAAAGGGAGCGGAGAUGGGUUGUUAAGUCAGUUGUGAAUGUUUGCGGCUCAACCGUAAAAUUGCAAUUGAUACUGGCAGUCUAGAGUACAGUUGAGGUAGGCGGAAUUCGUGGUGUAGCAGUGAAAUGCUUAGAUAUCACGAAGAACUCCGAUUGCGAAGGCAGCUUACUAAGCUGCCACUGACAUUGAUGCUCGAAAGUGUGGGUAUCAAACAGGAUUAGAUACCCUUGUAGUC
rnacentral:rRNA from 1 species